AGAAGAAAGCAAUGCUAACAAAGAAAAAACGAAAAGAAGAACAACCAGAAGAAAACACUGCUUGUUGUCUCCCCAUUAUGAUCUGUAUCAGCUUUUUUGGUUUUUGUGCUUCAGUAUU
rnacentral:ribozyme from 1 species